GCCUUCCCCGUCUCUGUGUGUUGAAGUCAGCAGAUAGCACACCUGCUGCUGCGUGAGUUCCUUCUGCCAAGCAGAGCAGCACAGCUGCAAGACACCCUGCUUCUGGCUCUGAGCUUUGCUUGUCUUCAGGGAUGGAGCCCCUCCCAAGGCAAGUUCAACUGGGUUCUUUGGCAGCCGAAGUCUACACGGACCCUGCAGGGAGCGGUGGAGAAAAAUCCUAGAGGCUACCUGCAUUCCUUGGCUUUUAUCCCCAAUCUUCCAUCUUCGGAGCCAGCAACAAUAUAUUGAUCAUGAGGAGAGGGCUCACCCCUCACCCGGAGAAGUAGUUGGGGAAGCAAUAUGCGGAAACAAAGCCAUGAAUCUGACAAGAAAUGUACUUAAGAUUGUAUAUAUGGAGAUGAAUACCCAUUGUCCUUUGCACUUUCUGGAUGAUAAAUUAGAAAAGAAAAAUCCAAAGAAUGAAGUUGUGCUAUUUGUCCUCACUUCUGAUUUGGGAAACUAGAGGAAAUUAAGAUGGGAAAAGACCAUGUGAGGACACAGUGAGAAGGAGACCAUAUGCAAAGCAGGAAGGAAGAUCUCACUGGAACCAAAAACCAGCCCUGCUGGCACCCUGAUCUUGGACUUCUAGCCUUUCUCA
rnacentral:lncRNA from 1 species